AUUAAACGCUGGCGGCAUGCCUUACACAUGCAAGUCGAACGGCAGCACGGGGGGAACCCUGGUGGCGAGUGGCGAACGGGUGAGUAAAGCAUCGGAACGUGCCCUGGAGUGGGGGAUAACGUAGCGAAAGUUACGCUAAUACCGCAUAUUCUGUGAGCAGGAAAGCAGGGGAUCGCAAGACCUUGCGCUCUGGGAGCGGCCGAUGUCGGAUUAGCUAGUUGGUGGGUAAAGGCCUACCAAGGCGACGAUCCGUAGCGGGUCUGAGAGGAUGAUCCGCCACACUGGGACUGAGACACGGCCCAGACUCCUACGGGAGGCAGCAGUGGGGAAUUUUGGACAAUGGGCGAAAGCCUGAUCCAGCCAUGCCGCGUGAGUGAAGAAGGCC
rnacentral:rRNA from 1 species